GCUGGCGGUCAUGCUCCGGCCCGGGAGCAGCAAGCGGAUCCAGGACUGACGGACAUAUCAUCUAACAUUCAAUCAACUGAAGAUGCUAGGUCUGAUUUGAACAGUGAGGAAAACAUUGUACUAACAGGAAAUGAUGCC